GUUUGUGUACGUGGUUUGUUACAAUUUUCCCUUGAAACACGUGUCCUCAUGUUUACACCUUACUUCUAAACAGUUUUACUUCAGAUGAGAGAGAACCGGAAGAGAGAAAAGGGAGAGAAGAGAGAGGGGCGGUGACCGGAGGGCCACUGUCGUCGCACCACCACCACGGUCACCAUCUCCGAUUUCUUUUUAGGGGUUUUUUCCUCAGAAAAUAGAGAAAGGAAAGAGGGAAGGAGAAGAUGGAGGGUGGAGGGUCACCACUGUUACACCACCACCACGGUUACCAUCUGGCGUCUCUGUUUUGUGGGGGGUGACCUCCAUACGAACCUGGGCUCUCUCGACGGUCGGGAAAUGAACAGCGUUUAUCUUCGUGGUUUGUUCCGAUUGACUUAUUUAGGCAGUCAUCUCCCCUGUGUCUUCCUGCUUUGGUCAUUGGAAACGAUGCCACUGAGACGACGAUUGGUUUCUUAGGGUUUUGCUUUGGCAUCGUCUUUUGUCUGCUGUUGGUUCCUAUGCCUUCAUUGGUUAGGUUUUUUGUCUUGGCUUCAAGGAUUUGACUAAAAAUUGAUGAGCAUGUAGCCUUGGCGUGACCAGGAUGAUGGAUGGUAUGUUUUUACUUGCAGCCAUGGACUUCUAUUUGGCUUUAGAACUCUGAGCCUGGGAUGGGAAGUGCAACCAUCUUUUGUUGUUUAUGAUUUUUCAAGUUAAAAAAAAAAAUAGAGUAAGAUUAGAGUGGUUGUAUUCUAUUAAUUUUUUACUUAUAUUAUUGUUCAAGUCGUUGUAUUCUCUUAUUUACUUACGAGUUUCCAGGGAGCUAAUCGUUUUGUGGUUGCUUGCUUGCUGAUGAACUAAUCGUUUUGUGGUAAUGUUAUUGAUCUAAUUGGGGUUUGUUUGAUUGGUUUAAGAUAAAGUGGGGAAGAGUGGGUCAAAAAACGUUCAAAUAUUGACAAUGCGAGAUUGCCAAAGAUCAAUAGGGUUUCGCAGCCGAGUAAUGUGAUUGAUCUGUUUUGUUGUUUUCCGUCCUUUUGGUUACAAAAGGGAAGCACAGUGACAAAUAUUGAUAACUAAAAAAAUCUGAAAAUGUGUCUAUACAUGAAUUGAUGUCUUUUACACGAUCUUAUAUGGUUCUGGAAGGAUUUCCUGACAGUGUUGGCCCUUUGUACCUGUCGUACAUGACAUGGAGAGCUUUAAUGCACUUCUUUGGGGGAGCAAUGGGUGUCUUCACAACGCAAGCACUUCUACACUCUGUUAAAAGCCAAGCUAUGCCAUGUGUUGGUUAAGCAAGGAUGGUGUGAUCAUAGAGGAACAUAGCAAGAUGUUAAAGCCAAGAUUCAAAUAAGGCAAGGAGGUGCCUUUAAACGUGAAUGGGCGCUAGCAUAUGAUCUUGCUCAAGAGGUAAUGAAUCCUUACAUUAGGGGUGUGAAUUUCUGACGCGACCUGAAAACACGACAUGAGCCUAACACGAAAUUCGCGGGUUUGGGUUUAGUCUAAACGGGUUCGGGUCAGUUUCAGGUUGAACCCGCCAACCCGUUUAGCUAAACAGGUCAGGUUCGGGUCAACCCGGUCGGGUUGGCGGGUUGACCCGUUUAACCCAUUUCUAUAAUAUUAUAUUUUUUACAAUAUGUUUUAUGUUAUAAAUUAAAUUUGGUGUGUAUUUUAUGCUAUACUUAUAACUUAAAAAUAUAAAUUGACAUAAGAUUUUACGAUUCUAAUGUAAUUUUAUUAUCUAAUUUGUGUUUUUUUAGUAGAUGUUAAUUUUAAUAUAUUAAUUUGCUGAAAAAAAUUUGGGUUGAACGGGUCGGGUCGGGUUCGGGUCAGCCUGCGAAUAUUUGGGUCAGGUUCGGGUUCAUAUGUAUGAAACGAUUUUCGAGUUCAGGUCGGGUUUGUGUUCGUCUAAAAUUUUCGGGUUCGGGUCAGGGUUUUUCUUCGUUUAAUACUUUCUCGAGAUUCUGUAUUUUUUUAUUUUAAAGUCGGGAACAUGCAUUGAAGGAUCAAUGUUGUGAGAUUCCAGACAUUGUUUUACAGAUUUUAGAUCAAAUAACUGCUGCUUCAUUUCCUCCAACCUAAAUUAAAAAAAACCACAAACGCCAAUUUUAGAACAUUUUACUCAAAAGGCUAUAGUAUUAUUAACAAGAAACUUGCAAAGGCUUUGGUUAGACCUGUCAUCCGUGUUCCUUUAAUGUCGUCUCUUGCAUUUUGGAUAACAUCUAUAGAUAUGUGCUUUAUAGUAGUCUAGGGGUUCACUGGUGUUCUACAGAAUUCUAGAAGAUUUGGAUCCAGAAAACCUGAAUUUCUACGUGUUGAAGGGCUUGGUGAAUUUUACAGGGACGAACUUCUUAAGAUCGACAGUGGGGACGGUGUAUGAUUACUGAUCGUGGACAUUUUGUUCUUUUCAACAUAUGCGUGCCUUGAGUCGAAUCCCAUCUGAUGAUGCAAAACGGCUUGAAUUCAAGCUCUCAUUCUACAAGAUACUGCAGGUGAAGGCACUAGCGACACAAAGAAGACCAGGUACCCGGAUGCAUGAAGAAAAAAAAUUUUGUGAUCUAUGUAUGAAUAGAAGACUAUGUUCGGACUUCUAUAAUUCUCUUAAUAUGUCACAUUGAGACACGUCAACAACUUUUAGUAUCAACUUCGUUACUAUAAGUGAAAUGUUCAAACCGAUAACAAUUCA